rnacentral:rRNA from 1 species
GACGGAGGAUGCAAGCGUUAUCCGGAAUGAUUGGGCGUAAAGCGUCUGCAGGUGGCAGUUCAAGUCUGCUGUCAAAGACCGGGGCUUAACUUCGGAAAGGCAGUGGAAACUGAACAGCUAGAGUAUGGUAGGGGCAGAGGGAAUUCCUGGUGUAGCGGUGAAAUGCGUAGAGAUCGGAAGGAACAUCAGUGGCGAAGGCGGCUAUCUGGACAAAUACCGACGCUGAGGCACGAAAGCUAGGGGAGCAAACGGG